GACGAACGCUGGCGGCGUGCUUAACACAUGCAAGUCGAACGGGCCUGUCUUCUUUUUUGGGGGGUGGGUUGAGUGGCGAACGGGUGAGUAUCACGUGAGUAACCUGCCCUUCGGUCCUGGAUAACCGCUUGAAAGGGCGGCUAAUACGGGGUGGUCCGGUUGGUCCGCAUGGGCUGGUCGGGAUAGAUUCACUGUUUUUGGUGUUUCGGCGGGGGAUGGGCUCGCGGCCUAUCAGCUUGUUGGUGGGGUGAUGGCCUACCAAGGCGGUGACGGGUAGCCGGCCUGAGAGGGUGGGCGGCCACACUGGGACUGAGAUACGGCCCAGACUCCUGCGGGAGGCAGCAGUGGGGGGUAUUGCACAAUGGGCGGAAGCCUGAUGCAGCGACGUCGCGUGAGGGAUGGAGGCCUUCGGGUUGUGAACCUCUGUUUCCGGUAGUGAAGGCCCUGUCCGUGUGGUGGGGUUGACGGUAGCCGGGGAUGAAGCGCCGGCUAACUACGUG
rnacentral:rRNA from 1 species